rnacentral:rRNA from 1 species
AUGGAGGGCAGAUUGGUGCUGGAUUGUCGAGGAGUACCCGCAGCCAUUUACCGCCCGGCGCCAACCCCAAUAGUGCGCGGCAACGAUUGGAGCAACGUGGCCCCGAAAGACGAUAGGCUGAAGAUUGCCGUCACCCGGAUUCUUCGCCUCAGGCUUGCCGGGCUCACCGUAGGCGCCGUUGGCGCAGAUUUGCUCCGCCGCCGCAUCGCCCCCCUGCAGGAGAGGAGGAGACCCGCCUGGGAGUUCCAGAACUCGGCGGAUAUCAUGAGGCUGCGCCCGGGCCUCAACUUCAACUUCACCGUCCUGGAGCUGGACGCGAUGCUCCUGGAGCUGUUCAAGCGCGAUCCUCAGCAUCCAUUCAUGUUGCCGAGGAGUGUCGUUCCGUUGUGCAACAAUUCCUCGCUCGACCGCAUCCGUGCAAUGAUGCCGCUGUGCGAUUCUCAUGGAAUUGUUCCAACUUGGCAAGAGCCUGCAGAUGACGUCGUGCAGGAGUUCUUCGACAGGUUGGUUGAAGUGCCGAUCCACCCCGACGAGCAGAAGAGCCUCACCCACGACACCACCGACGCGGAGAUGCAGCGCAUCGCCACUAGGCUGGAAGAGGCGGCGGCAGCAGCUGCCGCGGGCGAGUUUGGGUUCACCGUGGAGGAGGCAGAGGCAGCAGAGGCGGCAAGCCUUGCCAAGCGAGAGGAGCUUGUCGGCGAGGAAGAGCUUGUCGGGCCUGAAUCUGAGUCCGACACGCUCUACCGCGGCAAACACUAUUGCCGCGGGAGUGCCUCACACCGCUGCGGCAACUGGAGCGGGGUCUUCCCGGUCCACUGCCACCGCUCCUGCCAAGCGGGCGAGGGAGCCUACUCCUCCGCCUCGUCGCACCGGAGGCGAGCCGGACUUUGA